AGUGAACGCUGGCGGUAGGCCUAACACAUGCAAGUCGAACGGCAGCACAGUAAGAGCUUGCUCUUACGGGUGGCGAGUGGCGGACGGGUGUGGAAUACAUCGGAAUCUACUUUUUCGUGGGGGAUAACGUAGGGAAACUUACGCUAAUACCGCAUACGACCUACGGGUGAAAGCAGGGGAUCUUCGGACCUUGCGCGAUUGAAUGAGCCGAUGUCGGAUUAGCUAGUUGGCGGGGUAAAGGCCCACCAAGGCGACGAUCCGUAGCUGGUCUGAGAGGAUGAUCAGCCACACUGGAACUGAGACACGGUCCAGACUCCUACGGGAGGCAGCAGUGGGGAAUAUUGGACAAUGGGCGCAAGCCUGAUCCAGCCAUACCGCGUGGGUGAAGAAGGCCUUCGGGUUGUAAAGCCCUUUUGUUGGGAAAGAAAAGCAGCAGGUUAAUACCCCGCUGUUCUGACGGUACCCAAAGAAUAAGCGCCGGCUAACUUCGUG
rnacentral:rRNA from 1 species